ACAUUUAUUUAAUUAAUAAUUUUCUGUGUUAUCGUGUUUCUCAUUUAGACUAAUUACCUCGUUAUAAACCGAUCUCGUUAUAUCAGACAACAAUAAUAUUGUGCAUACUUAUGAAUAUUUAGUUUUCUAAGAUUUCUAUUAACUUCCUAGAGUGAAGCCAUUCGGAGCAAUAUUCGCUCCGUGUGUGGCCAUGGUGGGGAUACACGAAACUAUGCCAGCGCCCGUAGCGGCGAAAUAUGACAACUUUGGCGAAUAAUGAUUGAAUAAUAAUUUUUUCAAUAGAUAUUUCGCUUGCCUUAUUAUUGCCGUUUUGAUUUUUAUGUUUUAUAUUUGUAUUUUCAUACUGACUUUAUUUCCUUCCCCGAUCUGGUGGUAUAUUCCUAUCAUCAUCUAUUUCCAUUUUGUGUUACACACACCAUAAAAUUCGAUCCAGUUCAAUAGAUCCAGCUAAUGUUAAAAUCUGGUAAUAAUAAUUCACACUGGCUAAUUGCUUUCGAUGUACCGAAACACGAAUUAUUGUUAACAUCGACAACUAAACUAUAACGAAAAAGUGAAGAAAAACCCUUAAAAUUGAUAUUGUCUUCAGAGAACUUCCAUAUACAUAUAUCCGAUUUUUAAUUUGACGUUUAUUUGACACUCGAACUUAUUUAAAUUUUAUCAAAAAUUGUUUUUUUUAUGUAAUUAUGCUUAUUUACAAUCUACAUCAUUAAAAGAGUAUUAAGUAAAUUUGUUCCAUGUUUUUGGGCAUGAAGAAGAGACUUCCAAUGAUGUCUCUCUCAUCUUAUUCUAUUUAUGUUAAAGUUUUAAAAUAGGUCCUGAGGCCAGGGUCUAUCUAGUCUCCUUGUGACAGGGCCAUUAUGGAAUAAUUCCCUUACUAACUCAUUGUCAUGGUGAAUGGUACGCUCGUUUUGUGAUUCCGAGGCUCGAUGGAUUUCUUCUCUGAUGAAAGGUAUAUUUAAGUCUUCGUGAAGUGUUUGAUUAGUUACAUACCAUGGUGCAUCCACUAUUGAUCUUAGAACUUUAGACUGAAAUCUUUGGAUGAUAUUCAGUGAUGUUGACUUUGCACAGCCCCAGAGGUGUAGUCCGUAGUACCAAAUACAAGAAUCUACAGGUCGAGCAAGUCUCGUAAAUUUCACGAUUGCGAGCCACGCUUCACGCAACCGUGUUUGCGUACUUGUGUUUCAAGUUGCGUGGUCGUACGGAGUUAUAUUUACCAAAUUUAAAUAUAAUCGUUUUCAAAAUUAAAUCAAUAUGUCAAUAUGGCUACUGGGUGUAAAAGAUAAAUCUUAUUCUAUCUGUUCUUAAUGAGUUUUAGAUAAUUUUAGUUGUAUUUCUUUGUAAUUUUGUGUUGUACAAAGAUUAAUUUAACAUUUUCUCUGGAAGUAUUAAUUUAGAAAGAUAAUAUGCUUCAUUGGUGUUGUGUUUUGAAGUGUGAAAUGUGAUAAAGUCAAGAUUAAAGUUCACUUUUAAACUGAACUAAAUAAGGUAUCUGAGAGACAACAAUGGUUAAAUGCAAUACAAUGUACAGGUUUUACUAGCGAAAUGAAAAUUUUCCUGUCCUGUCUGCUGUAAUCAUUUUAUAUCUGGAAAACCAGCCGACUUAAUAGAUAAUAACAAUCUCCAGAUUGGGUUCCUUCAAUAAAUAUGGUCUAUAAACACAAUGAAAUAAGUUCCCCAAAAUCUAAAAUGGAGUGGUAUCAAAGGAGAAUUAAAGAGAAAAAUAUUCAUAUUGAAAUUAUUUAUAAGGCACUGGACUGUCUUAAAUUCUACAAUAAUACUAGAAUCAGCUGAGAGAAGUGGUCUACAAAAAAACCAGGAAGGAAACGGAAUAUGUGGCUACGAAAGGCAAAAGAAAGGUUUACAAAGCAAAUGUGACACAUUUUUUUGAAAUAUUUAGGAAUAUCAGUAAAUUGCAUUAAAAAAAUGUAUGAAAAGAUUUUGUUCAAUAAAAAUGUUUAUAUUUA